GGGAGAUUGAUUGCAUAUCCUUUCAUCAAUGCAAUCAAACAACUAAGAAAUUCUAAGUACACACAUAGCUCUCAAAUUUUACUGUCUUUCUAGGGCAGAGCAUAAAGUUAGCCUUGCCUCAGUGAGACUGUGCAAUGCCAUGUGGUUACUGGAGCAAGGGUAUUCUUCAUCAUCUGUGGCAAUGAGAACCUCACUCCCUGCAGGAAUAUAGAUGCAUCGAAGUGCAGAGAGAUCCAGUGAAGCACCAUCAGCCACCCCAGCUACAACAGAACUCAUUUCUUCUAUAUAACAGAACAGGAAGGCUCCCAGGUCUCUUCACAAAAGCAAAGGAGAAAGUUGACAGGUGGAGUUAUAGUGGCCAUUAUGACUUCUUCCAGCAUGGUUCCAUCUAUUGUGACUAUUGGAGGAGGCCAGAGGUGAAGAGGGAAAGCAGUCAGAUAGGACCAACAUUUGAAGAGUGA
rnacentral:lncRNA from 1 species